AAAGGAAGUGCAACAGAAAUGUCAAGUGAUGCGAGAAAGAGCUGAGCCUUUGACCAAGCAGAUUUCAACCCUAAUAGAGACUAUUCAGAUGAUCAAGGACAUGGAUGUUGACCCUAUCACAUUCCUUCAGAGCCGAAUCCACAGCAACAGACACUGCAGAUGCUGAGGUAGUGUCAGGAGCAUUCAUUGACAUAGCCAAGCAUGUGGGAUCUCUGAAAUUCAAGGUCUGGAAGAAGAUGCUUGGGAUCAUUUACUAUACUUCGGUGACCAUGGAUCCAAAACACAGUGUCUGCAAGGCUCAUAAUGACUCAUGACCUGACCACUGUGACAUACAGCGAGGAGAGUCAGAACCUUCCAGAAAAUCCUGAGAGGCUUAAAAUGGGAGUGUUGGGUUCUGAAGGUCACAGUAAAAGGCAGACAUUUUUGGGAUGUAGAGGUAGGAGAAAGUGAUAACUGGACCCUGGGAGUAGCCAAAGAGUCAAUUGUGCGCAACAAGCCACUCAAAAUGGAGCCUCAGAGCGGAUUGUGGAGCAUCAGGUAUAUUAGUGGGAAACACAGAGUAUGUGUAAAACCACGCAUCCAGAUCAAGCUGGAUGAGAGCCCACGAGUGAUCAGAGAACAUCUGGACUGUGACCAAGGGGAGCUGACAUUCUGUGAUCCCACUAAGAGCACUAUUCUGUACACCUUCAAUGAUACAUUCACUGAAAAAGUGUUCCCAUACUUUUACAGUACAAAUCAGUUUGUCCCACUGCACCUUUUGUCAGUUAGCCCCAACUUUGGGCAGAAUAUAAACAUGAGUGGAGACAGGUUGCCAGGUUUAUAAUAUGUGGGGACAAAUAUCUACUAACGUGUAUCAACUAGAGGGACCCCAUUGUGUGAACUUUAGUUGAAUCCAGCUCCAUGUAAAUAGCUGUAAAACUUGCCUCAACACAAAGCAUACUAUGGGUAUAAGUAGUGUAAUCUAAUUGAUGCCAAUGGAAUGUGGUAUGGUAACAACUGUCUACCUCAUAAUG